rnacentral:rRNA from 1 species
AUUGAACGCUGGCGGCAGGCCUAACACAUGCCAGUCGAGCGGAUGAAGGGAGCUUGCUCCUGGAUUCAGCGGCGGACGGGUGAGUAAUGCCUAGGAAUCUGCCUGGUAGUGGGGGAUAACGUCCGGAAACGGGCGCUAAUACCGCAUACGUCCUGAGGGAGAAAGUGGGGGAUCUUCGGACCUCACGCUAUCAGAUGAGCCUAGGUCGGAUUAGCUAGUUGGUGGGGUAAAGGCCUACCAAGGCGACGAUCCGUAACUGGUCUGAGAGGAUGAUCAGUCACACUGGAACUGAGACACGGUCCAGACUCCUACGGGAGGCAGCAGUGGGGAAUAUUGGACAAUGGGCGAAAGCCUGAUCCAGCCAUGCCGCGUAUGUGAAGAAGGUCUUCGGAUUGUAAAGCACUUUAAGUUGGGAGGAAGGGCAGUAAGUUAAUACCUUGCUGUUUUGACGUUACCAACAGAAUAAGCACCGGCUAACUUCGUG